AUACGUAGGGUGCGAGCGUUGCCCGGAUUUAUUGGGCGUAAAGGGCGCGUAGGCGGCUCGGCACGUCCGUUGUGAAAUCGCCCGGCUCAACUGGGCGGGGUCAGCGGAUACGGCCGAGCUUGAGCAAGCUAGGGGGCAAUGGAAUUCCCGGUGUAGUGGUGGGAUGCGUAGAUAUCGGGAGGAACACCAGUGGCGAAGGCGGUUGCCUGGGGCUUUGCUGACGCUGAUGCGCGAAAGCGUGGGGAGCGAUCCGGAUUAGAUACCCGGGUAGUCCACGCCGUAAACGAUGCGGACUAGGUGUCGGGGGUAUCGACCCCCUCGGCGCCGCAGCUAACGCAUUAAGUCCGCCGCCUGGGGACUACGGCCGAAAGGCUAAAAAUCAAAUGAAUUGGCGGG
rnacentral:rRNA from 1 species